GACCCUUCCAGGCAGCUUCCCACAAGUCCAGGUCUUUGUGCUCCUGCCUGUGAGAUUCCUCCAGUGGACGACUAAUAUAUCUCUUCUUAUUUCCACAGGUGAUCUGCAACUCAUUCACCAUCUGCAAUGCGGAGAUGCAGGAGGUCGGCGUUGGCCUGUACCCCAGUAUGUCUUUGCUGAAUCACAGCUGUGACCCCAACUGCUCCAUUGUGUUCAACGGGCCCCACCUCUUACUUCGUGCCGUGCGAGAAAUUGAGGCAGGAGAGGAGGUAAGGAAACCCGUGCCUCCCACUGCCCGCCCUCUCUUCUCGGCAGAACCUUUCGGCUUGGCUCCCUUGUAUGGCCAGCUCCAACUAACUCCUCACUAUCCUAACACCACAAAGACAUUUCAAACAGUCAUACACCAAACUGUAGAUGAAUCUAUGCAUACUUUUUGGUCUUGGUCACUGGGUUUCUUCAUGAUGAUAGUCCUGUGACAUGUAUUUGAAAGCUGUUCUUUUGAGACUGAGGCUGUCUACCUUAUAAUAGCAUGGGGGUCAUUAAGUCUCCAUUGGCAGCAACAGUCCAGCUGCUUGUCACAUCCCAGCACAUGGCCAGAGAGGCAACCCAGCUUCUCAGUACCGUUCCUCAGUGCUUACCCAGAAAGUCAGGAAAUCCGUUUUGAAGAUAUUUUAAAUUCUGUAUUAGAAAGCAGACAUGGUUUACUCUAUUAUGCCUUCGCCAUUGGGCUUUUGUAAACCUACCAGCAUUUCUGGGUGAUAGUUUCAGCACAGAUACAAG
rnacentral:lncRNA from 14 species